UCGGGAAUUUUGGGCAAUGGGCGAAAGCCUGACCCAGCAACGCCGCGUGAAGGAUGAAGUAUUUCGGUAUGUAAACUUCGAAAGAAUAGGAAGAAUAAAUGACGGUACUAUUUAUAAGGUCCGGCUAACUACGUGCCAGCAGCCGCGGUAAUACGUAGGGACCAAGCGUUGUUCGGAUUUACUGGGCGUAAAGGGCGCGUAGGCGGCAAUUCAAGUCAUCUGUGAAAUCUCCGGGCUUAACUCGGAACGGUCAGAUGAUACUGCUUUGCUAGAGUGCAGAAGGGGCAAUCGGAAUUCUUGGUGUAGCGGUGAAAUGCGUAGAUAUCAAGAGGAACACCUGAGGUGAAGACGGGUUGCUGGGCUGAUACUGACGCUGAGGCGCGAAAGCCAGGGGAGCAAACGGGAUUAGAUACCCUCGUAGUCCCUGAGCGGGCUGGCAAGGCGCAU
rnacentral:rRNA from 1 species